AGCGGCCAGGCCUAGACAGUUAGUUCUGGCGUUUGUUAGGGGCGAGGGUUGGACGUGGCCGCCUGCCCGGGUUGGAAGCAAGUUCCGUUUCCCAGUUGCACCCGGCGCUCCUGUCCUGACCCCCCAGGGCCACCCCACAGUCACUGUACCUGCAGCCGGAGUACGGACAAGGGGCCUGUUCUCCGCAGUGAGGGCAGCUGCUGGAGGAAGAGGGCACUGCCCAUGGGAGUGAAGGACUUGGCUACAGCCCAGCACAGUGCUAGCGAGUGCUUUGGAAGCGCCACUCAUGCCACCUACUCUAACACCCACGCUGUUCUGCACUGGACUCUCCUACCGCAGUGGUGAUGGGCAUCAGUCCUGACCUGGAGCACCCUCAGGCCCUGGCUAGUCCAGUCUGUCUUAAGAAGAUGGUCACAUCACUGUGAGAUUCUGAAAAGGCCCACUGAAGUAGGCACCAAGGUAAGUAAGCUACCAAACUCAUUUUAAAAAUUGAAACAUUGGACUAGACCUCAAAAUUAAAGGGCUACUCAAACUCCUCCCCAUUUUCCAGCAUUGGAAUGGAACAAUGAACGCAGAACAAAACAGCUUUCAUGUAACGGCUUGAAACAUUCCACAUUGGUACCAUACACUACGUUCUCUAAGGACACAACAGAGUCCAGCAUGGUGUCCUUGCUCUAUUGGAGGUUUCAGCAUUACAGUACAGGGAGCACCUCACUGGCCUUCACUUCAGACAGCAAUACAGCCAUGCACAACAAAAAGCCAAAAGACAGCCUUUCCAGCACCAUACACCUUAUAUUCACACAAACAAGAUGACCACAGUUUGCUUUGCUACCACUAUUUCUAGACCUGUCAUUUCAGGCCAUUUGACAAUCUGUUGUGCAAUUUCAGAUACAAAAAUUACAAUCCAUAUCUCCAUAGACUUGCCUUUCACUGGAUUUAAAGUGAAUGCCUUCUUGAUAGAAUGAGUAUUUUCAGUUAAAAGCCCACUAUUCAUUUUACAUAUAUUUAAAAACCAAACACUGGAGCCUACAAAAAUUUGUUGUGCUUCAGUCUUGGCUUUGGGACAAGCUGGCUUUUUUACUGCCAGUAACUGAAGUAGAGCCAGUCUCAAAGCUGAGUGUCUACAGGCUAUUAGCUUAGGUCUUUAGAACAUUUGCUUUGUAGAAGCCAAAAUCCUUCUACUGUUCUAGUGCUUCCACCCUCCCCCCCUCCAUGCCUCCUUUCUGUCAAGGGGUGCAAGAGCUCCUGGAGCUUGUUCUGAAGCUAGGAGGGCAUUGCCUUGGUAGCUUUACCCUCCUACUUCUCCAGCAAGCACCUUCUCUACCGUAGCUUUUGUACAGAUCCUUGAUGCAGAUUUUAUAGAGCCCUGCUGGAUGUUGUCUAGGUCUGGGUGGAAUUAUUGUGCAAUUAAAGGGGCACAGCAGAAGCUGAUAUACCUAUGAACCAAUCCCCACUAACUGUGUUUUGGGGUUUGCUGAUGACUAUGUGCCUCGCACACCUUCCCUCUGCUCAGCCGGCCUGUGGAUCAUUUGAAAAAUGCUGUCAGAGCAGGACUCAGAGCAGACAGGUAGGGAGUGGGGUGGAGCAAUGGGUCCUCACCACGCGCAUGAAGGGCUGUGGUGUUCUGUGGCAGCACUUAUUAAUCAUUAUAACAUAUGAAAAAAGCAGUUCUAGGGUCAUAAGGAUCCCAUGAAAGAUUAUCCCAUUGUUAAAGCAGGCAACAGCAGCAGCACCAAGAGGUGUCCUGCCAGGUGUUUCUCUGUUGGGAAGGGCUGGAACUCAGUACUACUACGGGAGACUGGUUUGAUUUCUGGACAGACUCACCAAGGGCUGAGAAUAUUGUGGAAGCCACUCACUUCAUUCACUCAACAAGUUUAUCAGCAUUACCAAAAAACCCAGAGAAACGUCUUUGCUCUGGUAAGAAGUAGGCAAGCAAUGCAACACAACACUUGGAUAUAUACGAUCCCCCACCCAAAACAGAUAUAAUGCCCUUUUGUUUUUUCCAGUUACUCUCCAUAAACCUACUCCUUUCCUUGGAAGUGCUGCUGGCUCUAUUUAACAGCUUAAAACAAGAAAGAAGAGAGAAGCUAGAGAACCCCCUUUUGGUCACUGGUCAGUGUCUUACCAGAGUUACAACAGAUUUGUACAACUGUACAACAGUUACAACAAUAUUUACUGGUGCGUUACUAACACUAAACAGGAACCCCAGUGGAGACAUUCAUUGGUUUUAAAAGGUAAGUUCUAUUAUUUAAUCAGAAUUCCUCUUUGUUAACAGUUUUCACUUGAACAAAACUUUUAAUAUUUUCUAUUCAAAAGUUUCUAGCAAAUAAUAGAACUUACCUUAAAGCAAUUGUGAAGUCUCCAGCUUCUCUCAGUCAUUCAUUUGCUGAGCACCACUUCCUGUGUCUCAAACUAUGUCAGCAGACUGGACUUCACGCUGGGAAGUAGCAGUAAAAUUGGCAACCCUCACAGACACACACCAGAACCAGUCACAGUUAUAGGUAUUGGAAAGUUAAUACGUAUAUAUUCUUAUUUAGCAAAGAUUUAUUUUGCUACCUAAAGUAAUGGCUGCAGUUGUUUCCGUUAAGCUCUGACAAGUGGAACUCGUGAGCAUAGUGCAGACCACAAUGUCAACUCUGUUCUAAUGGGAAAAGGCAGAUGGGAAUCUGACCAUGGUCAUCUUUAACCUAGAAACUGGCAGAAGUAUUCUGGUCUCUGACUUGCUCAUUCUGGAAACCCAUUUUUCCAUGAGAUGCACUAAUUGUUUUCCUUAAGAAACCCUCCAAAAUCUACACUGGUGCCAGAGAGAUUCUGCAAACUAGAUAUGAAUGCAGAUUCUACAACUGGCCUUUAGAACGGCUACUGAAAUAGAGUGGGCAACAUUAUCUUAGUGACAUUCCAUUUGUAGUGAAGCUUCUCAAAUGCUAAUAGAAAAAGUGAAUUAUGACCCCAGCACUGUGAUGGCUACUUUCUGGAUCUCUGCAUCUGCAAACCGAGUUUCCUCUCUGGCACUUGAUGAAGCUGCUUGGAUAGACUCCUGUUCAAUCAUGCCAUGUUCAAGUCAUUUGUCAUGAACGGUCAGUAAACUUUUGGCAUGCUAUGCCGCUUCAAGUGCUGCUCACCCCCCACUGGGGGUCAUCAUCAAGUGAAGAGAAAGCAUCAGAAGGUGAUCAUUUUGGAAGCUGAUAAAUGUUAC